CCUGCCAUUGGUGCCCCACCUCACCUCUCUCGCCUCGGCCCGGAGCCCCCGCCGCCAGUGCCCUGCUCGUUGCCGCCCCCGUCCCCGCCAACCCCUGGUGUCGCCGCCGCCCUGGCAAUCCCAGGCCCCACCGGCCUCCUGCUGUGGCGCUGCCGCCGUGACGCGAUGCCGGCCUCCUCCCGCGACGCCGGCGGCAGCCCCUGCCACCACGUGCAGCCGCGGCCCCUCUCCGCCGCCGCCGCCGCCGCUGCCCCAACACCGGUGAUGCCCACAUCUCCUCUUCCAACUCCGGUACAACUUAUUCCCUUACCUCAAGGUCCUCCCCAAAAUGGAGAUCCCCGUCCCUGCUCCCCAACCUGGCCCCUCUUCUUCCGCCGCCAUCGCCUCCACAUCACAGCUCCGGCAUGCAGCUCCGAGUGCCUCUGUCUCUGCUGGGUCUAAUUGCCUCCGCCCGACGUCGGGCUCUAUAGAAAACCCCAGUAUAUCACAUUUGUUUGUCGUUAUGGUCUAAAAAUGGCAUUUUUGCAGGUCAACUUCGCCUGAUGCGUCAGUUCAAUUUCAUAGUGCAUGAUAGGCAUGAUCCAGUAACCAUGGCAUUCCAUCCCCACAGGCCGACGCUGGCCGUCAACCCAACUACAGCUGUCCCCGGCCACCACACAAGCACUGUUAGGAAUAAGCCACACGGUGGCUGUGGUGGCGAGUGUGCGUGUUGGUGGAACUGGGCAUCAGCCGUGUCGAGUCUAUAGGUGUGCGUUGUGUACGUAGUUUGAGUUAGACUCCAGUUUGUUAUUGCAUGCAAGAUUGGUCAAGUCGUGGAGUUAGUUAGUGGCCGUGAGAAAUGGCCCUAGAGUUAGCCCAUGCAUUAGUUUGUUACUAGACUACCUGUGCAUGGUGGGCGUGGCGUGAGUUUAGGAUUAGUUGGUAAUGGUGAUACUCUUGUAAUGCCUAUUUAAGUUGAGUACGUGAAUGAAAGCUAGGUGUGGGCUGAGAAAA